AUUCCUACUGUUAUUGCUCGCACGAUAAUUCAUAUAAUGAUGAGCAGUACA
rfam:Vibrio sinaloensis strain T08 Contig42, whole genome shotgun sequence.